GACGAACGCUGGCGGCGUGCUUAACACAUGCAAGUCGAACGGAAAGGCCCUGCUUUUGUGGGGUGCACGAGUGGCGAACGGGUGAGUAACACGCGAGUAACCUGCACUUGACUUUGGGAUAACUCCAGGAAACUGGGGCUCAUACCGGAUAGGAGCUCCUGCUGCAUGGUGGGGGUUGGAAAGUUUCGGCGGUUGGGGCUGGACUAGAGGCUUAUCAGCUUGUUGGUGGGGUAGUGGAUUACCAAGGCUUUGACGGGUAGCCGGCCUGAGAGGGUGACCGGCCACAUUGGUACUGAGAUACGGCCCAGACUCCUACGGGAGGCAGCAGUGGGGAAUAUUGCACAAUGGGCGGAAGCCUGAUGCAGCAACGCCGCGUGCGGGAUGACGGCCUUCGGGUUGUAAACCGCUUUCGCCUGUGACGAAGCGUGAGUGACGGUAAUGGGUAAAGAAGCACCGGCUAACUACGUG
rnacentral:rRNA from 1 species